rnacentral:rRNA from 1 species
GCGAAUUCGCCCUUCGGGGUGCAGCAGGCGCGAAAACUUUACAAUGCGGGAAACCGUGAUAAGGGGACACCGAGUGCCAGCAUCAUAUGCUGGCUGUCCAGGUGUGUAAAAUACACCUGUUAGCAAGGGCCGGGCAAGACCGGUGCCAGCCGCCGCGGUAACACCGGCGGCCCGAGUGGUGAUCGUGAUUAUUGGGUCUAAAGGGUCCGUAGCCGGUUUGGUCAGUCCUCCGGGAAAUCUGAUAGCUCAACUAUUAGGCUUUCGGGGGAUACUGCCAGGCUUGGAACCGGGAGAGGUAAGAGGUACUACAGGGGUAGGAGUGAAAUCUUGUAAUCCCUGUGGGACCACCUGUGGCGAAGGCGUCUUACCAGAACGGGUUCGACGGUGAGGGACGAAAGCUGGGGGCACUAACCGGAUUAGAUACCCGGGUAGUCCCAGCCGUAAACGAUGCUCGCUAGGUGUCAGGCAUGGCGCGACCGUGUCUGGUGCCGCAGGGAAGCCGUGAAGCGAGCCACCUGGGAAGUACGGCCGCAAGGCUGAAACUUAAAGGAAUUGGCGGGGGAGCAC